rnacentral:rRNA from 1 species
UACGGAGGGGACUAGCGUUGUUCGGAAUUACUGGGCGUAAAGCGCACGUAGGCGGAUUUGUAAGUCAGGGGUGAAAUCCCGGGGCUCAACCUCGGAACUGCCUUUGAUACUGCAAAUCUCGAGUCCGGAAGAGGUGAGUGGAAUUCCUAGUGUAGAGGUGAAAUUCGUAGAUAUUUAGGAAGGAAACACCCAGUGGGCGA